UACAGAGGUCUCAAGCGUUGUUCGGAUUUAUUGGGCGUAAAGGGCGCGUAGGCGGCGGGGUAAGUCGGGUGUGAAAUCUCAGGGCUCAACCCUGAAACUGCACUUGAUACUGCUCUGCUUGAGGACUGGAGAGGAGACUGGAAUUCACGGUGUAGCAGUGAAAUGCGUAGAUAUCGUGAGGAAGACCAGUGGCGAAGGCGGGUCUCUGGACAGUUCCUGACACUGAGGCACGAAGGCCAGGGGAGCAAACGGG
rnacentral:rRNA from 1 species